rnacentral:lncRNA from 1 species
AGCCGGAGAAACAAUACAUUGACUGGAAUAAAACAACACAAGCAUUAUUUCUUGACAUGACCAAUAUUCUCUACCUCACCUUCACUUUUUUCAAAUUCAUAAUUUAAUUACCUGGUCAAUGAAAAAAGCCACAUCUUGGUAAGCCAUUGGAGCUUGGCAAAUAAAAGAGGCACUCAUCAUAACAGUACACACUGAUUCAAACACAAAAUCAGCAUAUCUAUUGUAGCUAUUUUAUCAUUCCAAGUAACAAAGUAGCGCCUUGAUAAAUGCAUGAAAACUAAAAAAAAGGGACUGGU